GACGAACGCUGGCGGCGUGCCUAAUACAUGCAAGUAGGACGCAGUUGCGAACGGGUGAGUAACGCGUAGGUAACUACCUAUUAGAGGGGGAUAACUAUUGGAAACGAUAGCUAAUACCGCAUACUAGUAGAUGGACCUGCGUUGUAUUAGCUAGUAGGUAGGGUAAUGGACUACCUAGGCAACGAUCCAUAGCCGACCUGAGAGGUGGAGCGGGCAACCUGUGACUGAGAGACGGCCCAGACUACGACGUGAGGCAGCAGUAGGGAAUCUUCGGCAAUGGGGGGAACCCUGACCGAGCAACGCCGCGGGAGUGAAGAAGGUUUUCGGAUCGUAAAGCUCUGUUGUUAAGGAAGCGGUACUUAACCAGAAAGGGACGGCUAACUACGUGCCAGCAGCCGCGGUAAUAC
rnacentral:rRNA from 1 species